rnacentral:misc_RNA from 1 species
GAAAUGCGAUAAGUAAUGUGAAUUGCAGAAUUCAUUGAAUCAUCGAGUCUUUGAACGCACAUUGCGCCCCCUGGUAUUCCGGGGGGCAUGCCUGUCCGAGCGUCAUUGCUGCCCUCAAGCAGGGCUUGUGUGUUGGGCUUCCGUCCCUGGCAACGGGGACGGGCCCAAAAGGCAGUGGCGGCACCAUGUCUGGUCCUCGAGCGUAUGGGGCUUUGUCACCCGCUCCCGUAGGUCCAGCUGGCAGCUAGCCUCGCAACCAAUCUUUUUAACCAGGUUGACCUCGGAUCAGGUAGGGAUACCCGCUGAACUUAAGC